rnacentral:tRNA from 1 species
GUGGCUGGGGCUCAAUGGUAGAGCGCUUGCCUUGCAUGCAUGAGGCACUGGGUUGGAUCCUCAGAACCACA